rnacentral:lncRNA from 1 species
AUUCAGUAAACAUACAGCUCACUUAAUUAACUAAACCGACACAAUCUUAGUUGGCAUAUACACUAUACACUUUCUUGAAUUCAAAGUCUCAAAAAUUCAAGAAAUACAUUAGGACUUGAGAAGAUCUAGUGGAUCUAUCUCUCUAUCAACUAGACGGUAGAGACAACAAUAGUUUUGUCAUCAUUCCAUUUGAGGUCUCCAAAGGUUUAGCCUUUUGUAGUCCAUUUAGGUUCUAAUUUCAUCUUAAAACUUUUAACUUGACCAACUCUAUCAAACUCCAACACAUUUGGCUCAACUUCCUUUCCAUCCAGAAGGAACAUGCCCAAGUCCAUCUGAGCUAAAGCUUCAGGAUUUAGACCAAACGCCUGAUGAUGCACAAGACGGUGGCAUUAGUGUUGUUAGUUAGUAAAUAAUGUAAGAGGGAGUAGAGGAAGUUGAGAUUGCAAACCAGUGUCAAGGUUUCCAUGAUUUGUCUUCACCAAAUCUUGUUUUUGACCACAAGGAACUUGAGGGUCAUCACACCAUCCUUCUCUAUUUGCAUGAGUUCCAAAUAAUGGUCAUGUGCAACUUUUUUCCCUUGUCUAGAAAC